GGAAACCUGUCUAUGCUUCUGGAUGAACCAACCUAAGUCACAUCACUCCAGAUAUCAUGGAGGAUAUCCAUAUGGUUAUAUGGAAUCAUAGAAACUUGUGGACGGAGGAGACUUAGGGAUUAUCUAGUCCAACCUUCUUGAUUUCAGGUGCUGAUAAUUCCCAGGACUACCACCAGCCUCGCCUUUGUGCUGACAAGACUUCCUGAUACGUCCUCAAGGAUGAUCAAAUGAACUUCAUGACUUGUUUCUGUUUCUGCCCUUGGACGACUUCUGCGGAAAUCAUCUCUAGAUCUUACCUAGUCAAUCCAGGAAAAUCUCUCCUUACACCCUCUGUCUGUUUCAAUUCGGAGGGAGAAAUUGCCUAAUUGGGCCUUGUUCUGUUGCCUCCACCUCCCGGGUUCAAG